rnacentral:rRNA from 1 species
GACGAACGCUGGCGGCGUGCCUAAUACAUGCAAGUCGAGCGGACAGAUGGGAGCUUACUCCCUGAAGUCAGCGGCGGACGGGUGAGUAACACGUGGGCAACCUGCCUGUAAGACUGGGAUAACUUCGGGAAACCGGAGCUAAUACCGGAUACGUUCUUUUCUCGCAUGAGAGAAGAUGGAAAGAUGGUUUCGGCUAUCACUUACAGAUGGGCCCGCGGCGCAUUAGCUAGUUGGUGAGGUAAUGGCUCACCAAGGCGACGAUGCGUAGCCGACCGGAGAGGGUGAUCGGCCACACUGGGACUGAGACAGGGCCCAGACUCCUACGGGAGGCAGAAGGAGGGAAUCUUCCGGAAUGGACGAAAGUCUGACGGAGCAACGCCGCGUGAACGAUGAAGGCCUUCGGGUCGUAAAGUUCUGUUGUUAGGGAAGAACAAGUACCAGAGUAACUGCUGGUACCUUGACGGUACCUAACCAGAAAGCCACGGCUAACUACGUGCCAGCCGCCGCGGUAA